UCUGUUGCCGAGGAAGUUUCGAUGUUGGAAAUGUGUGUUUGUUUUGAAUUUACCUGAUUUUUCACUGGACGUGGAGGGCUCCGUAGAGUUUUCUUUAUCAGAUGAAGAUCUUCCUAAUCCUCCUCAGAAACAGACAGAGAAGGUGAGCAAACGCAGUGGCAGCAACCUGACAGUUAAUAAAAGCACAGAUUACAGCAAUUACUAUCAGGUGCUGUGGGACUGUGUAGCAGGGCAACACGAUGAGCUGUCUUUCAAACAUGGGGAUGCGGUCUACAUUCUGAGCAAGAAAGGCCACUACAUUCUCUUUCUUGUGCUGUAUAAAUACAAUGAAGAUCUGCAUUAGGCAACUACUAGUCCAGUCAGUCUGCUGCCGAUCUUCCUCAUUCCAAUAUAACUCCAUGCUCAAAUUCACAAAGACGGCUAACCCAAUCUGGAGCAGUCGCUACAGGCCAGCA